CUUAUGAUACGGUAAGGUGCAUUGAUUCAAAAUGGUUAAAGUUCUAAUAGUCGCCGUGCUGUUGGUCGGACUACUCUGCACGUGUGGCGAUGGUUUUUUAGUACCAAAGCACCCAGGAAGAGGUGCAAUCGAAGCAUUUGCUAGGCCCGCUCUUCAACUGAUACGGACUGCUCGGUCUGCAAGAAGUGCUGCAGCUUUGGUUAUCUCCAGGAAUGCGCAGAACAUUUAACAGUCUGGGAUUCUCAUUAACGCACUAUGUAUCUUACGAAUUGACUGUACACACAUAAGAUUUGAUUCUUCAGCUUACAGUGUACAUCUUUGAAUUAACAAUAAAUUCAUUUUCAUUGA